UGGGGAAUUUUUGACAAUGGGGGAAACCCUGAUCCAGCCAUCCCGCGUGUGCGAUGAAGGCCUUCGGGUUGUAAAGCACUUUUGGCAGGAAAGAAACGUCAUGGGUUAAUACCCCGUGAAACUGACGGUACCUGCAGAAUAAGCACCGGCUAACUACGUGCCAGCAGCCGCGGUAAUACGUAGGGUGCAAGCGUUAAUCGGAAUUACUGGGCGUAAAGCGUGCGCAGGCGGUUCGGAAAGAAAGAUGUGAAAUCCCAGAGCUCAACUUUUGAACUGCAUUUUUAACUACCGGGGUAGUGUGUGUCAGAGGGAGGUGGAAUUCCGCGUGUAGCAGUGAAAUGCGUAGAUAUGCGGGGGAACACCGAUGGCGAAGGCAGCCUCCUGGGAUAACACUGACGCUCAUGCACGAAAGCGUGGGGAGCAAACAGG
rnacentral:rRNA from 1 species